AUUGAACGCUGGCGGCAUGCCUUGCACAUGCAAGUCGAACGGCAGCACGGGUGCUUGCCCCUGGUGGCGAGUGGCGAACGGGUGAGUAAUACAUCGGAACAUGUCCUGUAGUGGGGGAUAGCCCGGCGAAAGCCGGAUUAAUACCGCAUACGAUCUACGGAUGACAGCGGGGGACCUUCGGGCCUCGCGCUAUCGGGUUGGCCGAUGGCUGAUUAGCUAGUUGGUGGGGUAAAGGCCUACCAAGGCGACGAUCAGUAGCUGGUCUGAGAGGACGACCAGCCACACUGGGACUGAGACACGGCCCAGACUCCUACGGGAGGCAGCAGUGGGGAAUUUUGGACAAUGGGCGAAAGCCUGAUCCAGCAAUGCCGCGUGUGUGAAGAAGGCCUUCGGGUUGUAAAGCACUUUUGUCCGGAAAGAAAUCCUUGGCCCUAAUACGGUCGGGGGAUGACGGUACCGGAAGAAUAAGCACCGGCUAACUACGUG
rnacentral:rRNA from 1 species